GAUGAACGCUGGCGGCGUGCCUAAUACAUGCAAGUCGAGCGAACAGAUGAGGAGCUUGCUCCUCUGACGUUAGCGGCGGACGGGUGAGUAACAUGUGGAUAACCUACUUAUAAGACUGGGAUAACUUCGGGAAACCGGAGCUAAUACCGGAUAAUAUAUUGAACCGCAUGGUUCAAUAGUGAAAGACGGUUUUGCUGUCACUUAUAGAUGGAUCCGCGCCGCAUUAGCUAGUUGGUAAGGUAACGGCUUACCAAGGCAACGAUGCGUAGCCGACCUGAGAGGGUGAUCGGCCACACUGGAACUGAGACACGGUCCAGACUCCUACGGGAGGCAGCAGUAGGGAAUCUUCCGCAAUGGGCGAAAGCUUGACGGAGCAACGCCGCGUGAGUGAUGAAGGUCUUCGGAUCGUAAAACUCUGUUAUUAGGGAAGAACAAAUGUGUAAGUAACUAUGCACGUCUUGACGGUACCUAAUCAGAAAGCCACGGCUAACUACGUG
rnacentral:rRNA from 1 species